rnacentral:lncRNA from 1 species
AUGCAAGGAAUAUUUCAAAAGAAUUAUUGGCCAAUUCUUCAAGUUUCAGUGAGAAGCCGCAUGACAGGGAGCUGGAAAAUGUCUCUAAAAAUUGAAUGUCGAUGCUUUGAAUUCAGUUGCGGUAGCAACAAAAAAAAAUACUGCAGUCAGCGAAACACAAGAAAAGAAACUUGCCAAAAAGAGUCUUCAUCAAAAAAGAGUCAGAAAGUAGAAGCGGCUAAAAAUUUGGAUUCAGCUACCAAUUCUUCAAACUUCGAGACAAGUAACAUUGAAGCCCCUGCAAAUAAAAAGCAGAAGAAAAGAAAUGCACCAGUAGAAAUUUCUUCUGCUGACAAAGCCUCUAAGUCCUCCAUAUUUAAAGAAAGCAAUAUUAACAAUGCAGAUAGUCAGUCAGACAAACAAGUCAAAUCUCCAAAAGCCUCUGAGAAAGAUUUGGUGGUUGAACCUCCUUGCAAAACCUUGAAUGAACUGUUGCCUGGCAACCAGAUUUUACAGGAAGGUGCUGAAAUAUUGAAUGGAAAAAAGAAUAAAACCCAGAAAAAGAACCAACAGGACAACUCUGUAGGAAAUACUAGCAAUAAAAUCCCUAAAGACACUCCUAAAAAUAAAUCUCAUGAACAAAAUCUGAAAAAAGGCUCAGAUGUGUCUGCUGACCCCAAGACAAUUACAAAUGUCUCAACUAAAAAUGAAGUGGGGAAACCUAUAAUUGACAAAAGUGUAUCUAGUGAUAAAAUGGGUGCAAAAAAGCAGCAAGUCCAGAAGUCCUCCGAUGGCGGUGAUAAGGUCAAGUCUGAGUCUGAACCAAAAAUCAAAAACCAAUCUUCAGAGAAAACAGUCACUCCCUCUUCUCAAAAAACUGAUGCCGAAGAAAAGAAUGUCAAAGGCAAGAAUGUGAAGAAACAAGACAAUGAGCCUUCAAGUAACCAAGUGAAAAAUGCAAAUGCUAAAACUAAAGGAUCAAAGACCUCAAGUCAGGAAAAACUUGACAACAGUCAGGAUAUUGAAAUCCAAAAGAAAAAUGACAACCAAGUUGUGGAAUGUAAAAACGAUAGCAAAAAAAGCAAGAAUUCUAAGAAGAAAGGAAACGAAACAGGCAAAAAGCAGACACCAAGUAGCGCUACUUUGCCUGUUGAAGAAGUAAAAUCAAAUGACAAUGCUGUUACCAAAAAAUUGACAGGUUUUGAUGAAACAGCAAAUGUCGCAGAGGAAAAUUCCUCCAAAAAAAGGAAGAGACGUAGAGGAGGGAAAAAAGAAACCGACAAUUUACAAGAAGCAAAAACUGCUGAAACUGAAUUCUUUGCUCCUGUUUUAAGUGAGAAGGGAAGUGAAGGUAGUGCCAAAAUGAAAAGAAAAAGAAAACCAACCAAAGUGAAGAACAGAAGAAAAUUAGCAAGCCUGAAGAGAGAUCGAUUCAUCAGCCUGAGCUUACUUCAACCAAAAACAAAAAGAAUAAACAAAAAAAGGAGGCUGUUGAAAAAUCAGAAGUUGCAAGUGAAGCCUUACCCAUUGUCCAAGAAAAUGUGGACUCUAUUCCGGAAGAUCAAGAGAGAAAGGGGAAGAAAAAAAAUAAAAUCGCUCAAGAACAAACUCUGA